CCCUAACUCCAAUUCUACGGCCACCGUGUCACCACUCUUUCCGCCACUCUCCGCCACUCUCCAUCAACCUCACUCCGUCAUUGCGCCGCUACUACAAUUUCUCUAAGCUCGUGCUCCUUCUCCAAUUUCUACAUUUUUUGCUCCAUGUAUGAACAAAUUACAUCGUUAUCUUCCUCCAUUUUGAAAUGAUUGUGCCAUGAUCGAACCAUUUCAGCUCAAGAUAUGCUUGAAUCAACUACUAUGGUACUCGUUCGGUAUUCAACACUCUUUGCAUUUCCAUUUUUCUCAUAAUUCAAUGUGAAAAAUAAUUCAUCAUUAUAUAUUAGAUCACUAAUUAUCACGAAUGUCAGAAUGUGUGGCCUGCUGCAGGAUACCAGAUAUUUUAAUCAACUCGGACUGGAUUUCGUUUCACUAAAAGCUAUUCCCAUUCAACUUCUUCUUAUUAGGCAUGCUCGUUACUUUUUUCCUAUGAAGCGCAAACACUGGAAAAAUGACACUGACACGUCGACACCGACAAUAGUUUGAAGAAAUGAAUAAAUUAAACGUAGUCACAACACCGACACUGACACGGACACACAUUUUUUCAGAGGUGUCAGUGCUACAAAGCUUUUUUCAUAGUUCACAUUGAUUUCAUAUACUAAUGUUCAUUGGAAUUCUUCCCAUUAGUACUUGUUUAACAUGCACAUUGCACAUUAUGUAAUGUUUGUUUCGUCUAUUCUGUAAUGUGUGUGAUUGCCUUAUUGCCUUGAUGAGAAAUGAUUUUCAUAUUUUGUACAUGCAGCUUAUUCAUGAUCCUGCAAUAUGAGGUUGCUUGCAGGAGCCUGAGUUUUUCAUGUUUACAGUUCCUUGCUACAAGGACAGAGCAAAUGCCCUAUUGGAAACAAGCAAGUCGCCAAUGCAGUGGUUCACAGAUCACAAUGGGAGGAAACAGAACAUGACAGAAAAUUUGGGAGUGCCUGAGAGUGGAAUGUUGCAGCUGGACUAUAUAAAAGGUUGUAGAUACAAUUAUUUGGGUGGUGAAGGCUGUUUGCCACAGCUGGUUUUGAACAAGGCUGCUUGAGCAGUGGUUCAUGAGGCAGAGGAUUUUGUGGUAAGAGUUGCAACUUACUUUACCACUUUAGCUUCUACUUAUUUGUUUCUUUUGGUUUUAUGCUUAAAAAAUAUUUUUUGGAUUUAUUUUCUUCUAGUGUUUUUGUUCUCUUGAACCUUACUAACAGUGAACAAAUAGAGUAACUUCAAGCAUUGAGCAUAAAAUAAAAGAAUAUAUCCAAUGAAUUAUUGGUUUGGAAUUUAGGUUUCUAUCACUUUUAUGUUAGGAAUUUAGAUGCAUUUUGUCCAAACAAUCACUAUAGGCUAUUGUGAUUGUAGUUUUCAUGGAUAUAGGAAAUUAAAAACAACCGAGAAAUUGUGCCGUUGGAAUAGGUUUUUCAUGUUAUACAAACUGCUUUUAUCCUUUACCUACAGACUAUUGCUGCCUAUCACUAUAAGUUAUUUUUUCUCGAGUGAUACUUACAAGUAUGCCACUAGUUUCACUCUUAUUUUCUACACAAUAAAUAAUGGAAAAGAAAGUUGCUAUAUUUUUUUUUCCAUAUAAUAUUUCUCCAAUCAUAUUUAUUAUUCUCUUUACUUUUCACUUUCUAUUCCCUUACCUUUGUUUCGUCUUACUUUCUUUUUGAAA